rnacentral:rRNA from 1 species
GAUCCAUAUGGUGGCGGCGACUCUGGACGCGCGCAGGGCCCUUCUCGCGGAUCUCCCCAGCUGC